UUCGCAAUGCCCGAAAGGGUGACGAAGCGACGCCGCGUGUGGGAAGAAGGCCUUCGGGUUGUAAACCACUGUCGGGAGUUAAGAAAUGUAAGGGUGUUAAUAGCAUCCUUACUUGACUAAGGCUCCGGAGGAAGCCACGGCUAACUCUGUGCCAGCAGCCGCGGUAAUACAGAGGCGGCAAGCGUUGUUCGGAAUUAUUGGGCGUAAAGAGCACGUAGGCGGCCGUGUAAGUCGGUUGUGAAAGCCUUCCGCUCAACGGAAGAACAGCAGCCGAUACUGCAUAGCUUGAGUGCGGAAGGGGAGAGUGGAACUUCUGGUGGAGCGGUGAAAUGCGUAGAUAUCAGAAGGAACGCCGGCGGCGAAAGCGGCUCUCUGGUCCGUAACUGACGCUGAGUGUGCGAAAGCUAGGGGAGCAAACGGGAUUAGAUACCCCGGUAGUCCUAGCCGUAAACGAUGGGCACUAAGUAGAGGGGUUUU
rnacentral:rRNA from 1 species